ensembl:lncRNA
AUGCCAGCCGAGGUUUCGUAUAUGAGGAUGAACUACACACCUUUCACUUUUGUUUUCUGUGCAGAACAGCCACAAGAGCAAACCACAGACCGGUUCACGGAAGAUCCUGCCGAGUCUUACUCGAGGUUCAUGAUGAUGGUGGCUUUGAUGUGUGUUGGCGCUCUGUUUUUCGUGUGUUUGUUCGGUCUGAUUCAAGUCCUCAAGCACAACAGCCGCAGUAAUUCAGGUUUUGUUCUCCACCGCACCAGGACUUUAUCAAACCCAGUGACGGAUGGCCACCAGAGAACACACCGUGACCUUCCAGACGUACCCAAAGUUCAAAGUGAAAAAGAGGAACGUUAUAGACCCACAGUCCCAGAUUAUAUAAACACAGAACCGGCUGACUACACUGAUGUUGUUUCAGCACAAACAAAAGAUCAGAUCUACACAGACCUGGACAGCAAUAGACAGAGUCAAGUGUAUCAGAGUCUCACAGCUGAUUCUGUUCAAGAGUCGAUCUAUCACACUAUUGAUCAGACGAGAGACUGA